CGAACGGGUGAGUAACACGUGGGUUACCUGCCCCGAUGAUUGGGACAACCCGAGGAAACUCGGGCUAAUACCAAAUGUGCUCGUGGUCGUAAUGACCUCGAGGAAAGGAAGCUUCGGCCUCCGCAUCGGGAUGGGCCCGCGGCCCAUUAGCUAGUUGGUGGGGUAAUGGCCUACCAAGGCGACGAUGGGUAGCUGGUCUGAGAGGACGAUCAGCCACACUGGGACUGAGACACGGCCCAG
rnacentral:rRNA from 1 species